AUGGACCCCCGCAAAGUGAACGAGCUUCGGGCCUUUGUGAAGAUGUGUAAGCAGGAUCCAAGCCUUCUGCACACAGAGGAAAUGCGCUUCCUGAGGGAGUGGGUGGAGAGUAUGGGAGGUAAAAUAACCACCUGCUACUCAGAAAGCUAAAUCAGAAGAAAAUACCAAGGAAGAAAAACCUGAUAGUAAGAAGGUAGAGGAAGACUUAAAGGCAGAUGAACCGUCAAGUGAGGAAAGUGAUCUAGAAAUUGAUAAUGAAGGUGUGAUUGAACCAGACACUGACACCCCUCAAGAAAUGCGAGAUGAAAAUACAGAGAUAACAGAGGAGAUGAUAGAUCAGGCAAAUGAUAAGAAAGUGUCUGCUAUUGAAGCCCUAAAUGACGGUGAAUUGCAGAAAGCCAUUGACUUAUUCACAGAUGCCAUCAAGCUGAAUCCUCGCUUGGCCAUUUUGUAUGCCAAGAGGGCCAGUGUCUUCGUGAAAUUACAGAAGCCAAAUGCUGCCAUCCGAGACUGUGACAGAGCCAUUGAAAUAAAUCCUGAUUCAGCUCAGCCUUACAAGUGGCGAGGGAAAGCACACAGACUUCUAGGCCACUGGGAAGAAGCAGCCCAUGAUCUUGCCCUUGCCUGUAAACUGGAUUAUGAUGAAGAUGCGAGUGCAAUGCUGAAAGAAGUUCAACCUAGGGCACAGAAAAUUGCAGAACAUCGGAGAAAGUAUGAGCGAAAACAUGAAGAGCGAGAGAUCAAAGAAAGAAUAGAAAGAGUUAAGAAGGUUCGAGAGGAGCAUGAGAGAGCCCAGAGGGAGGAAGAAACCAGACGACAGUCAGGAGCUCGGUAUGGCUCUUUUCCAGAUGGCUUUCCUCGGGGAAUACCUGGUGGUUUUCCCGGAGGAAUGCCUGGAAUGGGAGGGGGCAUGCCUGGAAUGGCCGGAAUGCCAGGACUCAAUGAAAUUCUUAGUGAUCCAGAGGUUCUUGCAGCCAUGCAGGAUCCAGAAGUUACGGUGGCCUUCCAGGAUGUGGCUCAGAACCCAGCAAAUAUGUCAAAAUACCAGAGCAACCCAAAGGUUAUGAAUCUUAUCAGCAAAUUGUCAGCCAAAUUUGGAGGUCAAGCAUAAUGCCCUUCUGAUAAAUAAAGCCUUUGCUGAAGGAAAAGCAACCUAGAUCA